rnacentral:rRNA from 1 species
UGUCUAAGUACAAGCCGAAUUAAGGUGAAACCGCGAAUGGCUCAUUCCAUCAGCUAUGAUUCAUUGGAUCUGUAGCCCACACUUACUUGGAUAACUGUGGUAAUUCUAGAGCUAAUACAUGCACCACGUCUCUGACCGCAAGGGAAGAGCGCUUUUAUUAGUUCAAAACCGGUCGGGCCUCGGUCCGCCAACCCCACCGUGUUGAAUCUGAAUAACUUGUGGCUGAGCGCACGGCCUCCAGUGCCGGCGCCGCCUCUUUCAAGUGUCUGCCUUAUCAGCUUUCGAUUGUAGGCUAUGCGCCUACAAUGGCUAUAACGGGUAACGGGGAAUCAGGGUUCGAUUCCGGAGAGGGAGCCUGAGAAACGGCUACCACAUCUAAGGAAGGCAGCAGGCACGCAAAUUACCCACUCCCGGCACGGGGAGGU